UGUCCUGAACUUGCUAUGUAGAACCAGCUAGCCUCAAACUCAGAUCCACCUCAUUCUUCACUCUGCCUCCUGAUGUUUUGUUAAACUUCCUUAAUUGGAGUUUCCUGUAGAAAGGGAAUUAGGUGGACAUAGAUAAUCAGAGAUGCGGUGAUGGCGCUGGCCCUGGCCCUGGCCAUUAUGCAAGAAAUCAAUAGGGUCUACCAUCUGUAACCUGAGGGCCUGAUUAGGCCAAGUACUAACCAAGUACUGAUUAGGUUCCAGACUAAGCCUCCAAGCUGAAGAACUGGGAGGGCCAGUAGUUUUCAAAAACCCCAUAACCAGUAGCACCCAUGGGCCAGGGCACAGGAGGUAGAUGUCCAGCUCAGAGAGAGAGAGAGAUCCUUCCUGGACCCUCUUGUUCCUUCCAGGCCUUUGGUGUUGACCAGUGCACUGAGUGAGGAAGUCAUCGUUCUGACUGGUGAUUCUAAUGCUUCUCUCAAAUCCACUCUGUUUUCCCCAUAUCAUAUGACUUCACAAUUUCUUUUACUUGGUCACACAGGACAUAGUUUGACUUGUGUUGAGUAAUGAUGAUGGGCAUGCAGGACAUAUUCCUAUAUCUAGGAUAUAGCAAAGGGGGAGCAGUUUUAAUUAGGUUUCUGCAAUGACCAUGAUUGAUUGUUAGGCAGGAAUAAGGCAUUACUUUCCCUCUGAAACCAGAGGGAAACAGGGUAGCUCCUGCUCCCCUCGUCUAGGUGAUAGGCAAUGGGCCUGGAGGGCCGAUUCCAACGUCUGCACUCAUCCAACAUCUUGCUUUUUUUACUAAGCCUUUUGUCUUGUCUUGUGCAGGUCAGCUUUGUGCCAGUAGGUGGCACUGUACUAGUUUUGGAGACUGUCUUAGAUGUUCAGGGUCAAUCAGCACCCACACGACAGGCAGCCUAGCCUAUCAGUGAAUUAGGCCCAGCCCAUCCAUGUGGAUCUGAAAACAGUCAGAAGGAUGAACAUGGAGCAUCCCUAGAGAGUGAUCAAGACUAUAGAACCCAUAAUGCCGGCCUGUUACUUUCUGGGGGACAAAAGUUGCAGUAUUUGUUCAGGGUGGCCAAAUCUAGCCUCAGUAUUUGUGGCGAAAAACCUCUUGUUGGAGGCCUCUUAAAUUUCCCAAUGUCUCACUGUCAUUGUAACAGGUAAAAGACUGGGUUUUCACUUGGGAGAUUUGUGACACUUGGAACUUGGCUCAUUGCAUUCAAAGUGUAGUCCCUUAGUACUCAGACAUGAGAGGAGGUAAAGAUUGUGCUCUUUGGAGGACCCAUCCUAGUCCAGCAGUAUUUGGAAGUCAGUACCUGAGCCAUGUGGUUCAGGAAUGUCACUUCUGUUGAGGCCUGCCUCAUGGGACAGAGGUAUUCAGAGUGGGGCCAGGUGAAGAUGAAGGAGCCGACAAGGUUCAGGAAGCUCUUGUUUAUUUAUCUUGGUUGGGGGCCCAACAGCAGGAUCAGUUGUCAGCCUCUUGGCUUUACUCUGCAGUCUAGUCCUAGAAUGUGUAGUCAGCUGUGGCCUGGGAGCUUUAAGCUUUCUGGAUUCUAAGGCCUCACGUUUUUUAUACCUAGCAUGCACUAUUAGAAUACACUGAAUUUUAGUGUACUGUAUCAGUGUCUGCUGCCUACUGAGUUCUUGACACACUUCUUUGGGUCUAAACUUAAAUUUACUGCUAAAAUGAAAGUAAAACUGGACAACUGUUUGACUUGUAGCACAUGUUCCUUUCAGAACAGUGACAUUUAUAGAGUGCUGUGCUGUAUCCCAGUGAUGGUAACAAAAUGCCCUGAAGCUUCUUAUAAUCAACUACCGUCAUAACCGCUUCUGAUGUUAUGUGUCAGUAGCAUUUAUGUGUCCAGUGUUGUGCGGUCAUCACUGGUACCAAGUUGCAGGAUGUUUCAUCCAGACAAAAACUUCAACCCACUACUUAGAACUGUCCAGCUUCUUCCUGAAGCCCCUGGCAACCAGGAACCUGUCUUCUGUCUAUAGGUUGCUCAUUUGGGUAUUUCACAACAUAGACUCAUGCACUGGAUGGCCCUUGGUAUGUUGGCUUUAUCCACCCAAGGUUUCUGCAAAACUCAGCUGUGUGAUGUAAUCUCAUUUCUUUUAUGGGUAAAAAACACUCUGUUCUGAGUGUGAGCUACAUGUUACUCUGAUGGUUAACCCGAUAACUCGAUGGGCUUAGAGUCACCAUGAAAACACCCCUGCGUGUUUCCAAGGGUUUCAGAGAGACCCACCAAGAGUGUGGACUGCACCAUUCUAUAUGCUGGGCUCCUAGACUGAAUAAAAAGGAGGGCAAGAGCUGACCACCGGCCAUUGUCUAUGUCCUGCCUGCAGAUGCCAUGUGACCAGCUGCCUUAAGUCCCUGCAAUCAUGACUUCACCACAAGGACUGUACCCACUUAUACUGUGAGCCAAAUAAACCUUCCCUCAGUU
rnacentral:lncRNA from 1 species